CUACGGGAGGCUCCAGUGGGGAAUAUUGGACAAUGGGGGAAACCCUGAUCCAGCAAUGCCGCGUGUGUGAAGAAGGCCUGCGGGUUGUAAAGCACUUUCGGUUGGGAGGACUGCUUCUAGCACUAAUAUUGUUGGAAGUUGACGUUACCUUCAGAAGAAGCACCGGAUAACUCCGUGCCAGCAGCCGCGGUAAUACGGAGGGUGCAAGCGUUAAUCGGAAUUACUGGGCGUAAAGCGCGCGUAGGCGGCUAGAUCAGUCGGGUGUGAAAGCCCCGGGCUUAACCUGGGAACUGCAUCCGAUACUGUCUAGCUUGAGUACAGGAGAGGAGAGUGGAAUUCCACAUGUAGCGGUGAAAUGCGUAGAUAUGUGGAGGAACACCAAUGGCGAAGGCAGCUCUCUGGCCUGAUACUGACGCUGAGGUGCGAAAGCGUGGGGAGCGAACAGGAUUAGAUACCCUCGUAGUC
rnacentral:rRNA from 1 species